AAAAUAUUCUCACAUACAAAUUAUCCUUUAGAUAACAUGUCUUAGUCCUAAUUUCACUUUACAUUUGCUGUUGUUAUAGCCGUCUUUAAUGAAGUUAAUUUGUUUUAAAAUUCACAUGUCAUUUAUUGCUUCUGUGCUGUUCUAAGAAUUCAUAUUUCAGCCAUUGUUAAAUUGAUAAGGUUAGGAUUUCAAAUAUGGAAAUGUGCUAAAAGUGGUGUUAAAUGCCAACAAUCAAUCAAAUAAGGAUAGCAAUCCAACCAAUUUCAAAAUAAGAAGCCCUUAGGGGCAUAAAUUGCGUUUAUCGCUUUUGAUCUGGUAGACCAAAGUGAGCUAUUUCUUUCACUUGACUUUUAUCAAAUGUCUUGCACUCUUUGUCAAUUACAUUUUCAAAAAUAUUCUUCUAUGUAGGAGGUCUACUCACAUUCAUAAUAUGAGCAUUUAGACUAGUGUAUGGAUUUGUCCUGUAGAAUAGGUCAGCAUCCAGACAAAAGUUGAUUUUUGUAACCUACUUUAUCUACUUCAUUCAUUCUUGUUAAGUUAUAUGUCCAAGUUAGGAUAAUUUUACAUAACAUGAUUAUGUUAACCAGUUAAUGGAUGCAUCCUGAAAUAUAGGUCAGCAACCAGAUAGAGUAAACAUGUCUUCCAUUAGGACUGUAGCAUGAUAAAAAUUGGCCCAGAGUGUUGGACUAGUACAAAGCAGGGUAUAUAUUCAUCACAUCAACAUGUUCUCGUCCUGGAUAUGCAUUUAACUUGCCAUUGGAUGUGAAACAGCCUUCAAUCAUCAUCAUUAAUGACUUUUAUUAAGUUGAUGUCAAAGUUCAUAUUUCAAUGACUAUUUUUAAGAGGAUAAUGUAAACUAGUGUAGGUUUGCAUCCUAGAGGGUACGUCAGCAUCCAGAAAAAAGAAGGUUACUUUAGUUGUUCUCUUUAUAGACUGUGGUUAGGGAUGAAAGAAGGUUACUUUAGUUUUUCUCUUCAUAGACUUUGGUUAGGGACGAAAGAAGGUUACUUUAGUUUUUCUCUUCAUAGACUGUGGUUAGGGACGAAAGAAGGUUACUUUAGUUUUCUCUUCAUAGACUUUGGUUAGGGACGAAAGAAGGUUACUUUAGUUUUUCUCUUCAUAGACUGUGGUUAGGGACGAAAGAAGGUUACUUUAGUUUUCUCUUCAUAGACUUUGGUUAGGGACGAAAGAAGGUUACUUCAGUUUUUCUCUUUAUAGACUUUGGUUAGGGACGAAAGAAGGUUACUUUAGUUUUCUCUUCAUAGACUUUGGUUAGGGACGAAAGAAGGUUACUUUAGUUUUUCUCUUCAUAGACUGUGGUUAGGGACGAAAGAAGGUUACUUCAGUUUUUCUCUUUAUAGACUUUGGUUAGGGACGAAAGAAGGUUACUUUAGUUUUUCUCUUCAUAGACUGUGGUUAGGGACAAGAGGGUCUCUUUAGUUGUUCAAUCAUAGACUUUGGUUAGGGACGAAAGAAGGUUACUUUAGUUUUCUCUUUAUAGACUUUGGUUAGGGACGAAAGAAGGUUACUUCAGUUUUUCUCUUUAUAGACUGUGGUUAGGGAUGAAAGAAGGUUACUUCAGUUUUUCUCUUUAUAGACUUUGGUAAGGGACAAGAGGGUCUCUUUAGUUGUUCAAUCAUAGACUUUGGUUAGGGACGAAAGAAGGUUACUUUAGUUUUUCUCUUCAUAGACUGUGGUUAGGGACAAGAGGGUCUCUUUAGUUGUUCAAUCAUAGACUUUGGUUAGGGACGAAAGAAGUUUUCUUUAGUUUUUCUCUUUAUAGAAUUUGGUUAGGAGCGAAAGAAGUUUUUCUCUUCAUAGACUGUGGUUAGGGACGAAAGAAGGUUUCUUUAGUUUUUCUCUUUAUAGACUUUGGUUAGGGGCGUAAGAAGGUUAUUUUAGUUUUUCUCUUCAUUGACUUGGUUUAGGAAAUACUAUGGUUAUUUUAGAAAUUAAUUACAGUUAAGGAAUGAUGUUUGGUGACAGAAUAUUAAUUUCACUUUUUAUGACAAUGAAUCAUUUAUAUGAACUAUUGAGAAAGAGUCAAAUUCAGUAACCAUAAUUUAGCUAUGUUUUUUUCCUGAAUGGGGAUCAAAGAAAUUGUUUUUUUUUCAGUUUUGAGGCUGAAAUAGACCUGUCAUCAUUACUUUAUUUCUAAUCCAAUGAAAAAUUGUUGACACAUAUUUAGAUAACAUUAAAUGAUGAUUAUUUCAUGU